UGUAGGGAGAUGUUUGUGAGCGGUCAGGAGGAGCCGCUGACCCCUGCAGAGGCUGUUUACAUGACAUGGAAGUGACCUAGAGGUGUUGUGAGCUGAGCGGAAGGAAUCACAUGCCUGAUUAUGCCUAUCCUCCAGAACACUGAACUCUGACGCUAACGCAGAGGUGUUAGCAUCAAGCUGCUUCGCCCUACGCAGUCCUCAUCGCCUCGGUGAACCCAGCAGACUUUAAUUCAGCUGAUAAACACUGUCUUCUGCGGACAGUACUUCUAUAAAAGGACGUCUCUUCACCCUGGUAUUCUGAGAAAGUCUCAGAUCUUCUGCGCGGCUGGACUCCCUCUGACAGACUACAAGUGAAUCUGAACACUUCUUCGAGAGGCGAUGAGAGUGACGCAGGCGUAAGGAGACCAGGACAGAACGAACACAAUGAUGACCACAAACGCAAUCUUGGCCAGCUUCCACUCGGUCUUUAUGGACUGCUGCUGGAUGAGCGCUGUCUUCCUCACAUGACUGCCCAGCUUCUCCAGAUCUCUGAACACACAAGAAGAUCAAUGAUGGGACUCUGAUGUACAGCAUGGGGACACCCCAGUUAGGGUGACCAGACGUCCUGCCAUGACCUGUCCUGAUUGUUUAUCAUGGCGUUCUUGAUCCCAAUCGGCUUGUGCAGUAAAAACAAAAAACAAAAAAAAAAAAAA